rnacentral:rRNA from 1 species
UACGGAGGGGGCGAGCGUUAUCCGGAUUCACUGGGUUUAAAGGGUGCGUAGGAGGGCAGGGAAGUCAGUGGUGAAAUCUCCGGGCUUAACUCGGAAACUGCCGUUGAUACUCUCUGUCUUGAAUCCCGUGGAGGUGAGCGGAAUAUGUCAUGUAGCGGUGAAAUGCUUAGAUAUGACAUAGAACACCAAUUGCGAAGGCAGCUCGCUACACGAAGAUUGACUCUGAGGCACGAAAGCGUGGGGAUCAAACAGG